rnacentral:rRNA from 1 species
CGGUGGAUGAUGUGGUUUAAUUCGGUGCAACGCGAAAACCUUACCACCUUGACAUGUACGGAAUCCUUUAGAGAUAGAGGAGUGCUCGAAAGAGAGCCGUAACACAGGUGCUGCAUGGCUGUCGUCAGCUCGUGUCGUGAGAUGUUGGGUUAAGUCCCGCAACGAGCGCAACCCUUGUCAUUAGUUGCUACAUUCAGUUGGGCACUCUAAUGAGACUGCCGGUGACAAACCGGAGGAAGGUGGGGAUGACGUCAAGUCCUCAUGGCCCUUAUAGGUGGGGCUACACACGUGCUACAAUGGCCGGUACAAAGGGCUGCAAUACCGCAAGGUGGAGCGAACCCCAAAAAGCCGGUCUCAGUUCGGAUUGGAGUCUGCAACUCGACUCCAUGAAGUUGGAAUCGCUAGUAAUCGCGGAUCAGCAUGCCGCGGCGAAUACGUUCCCGGGCCUU